rnacentral:snRNA from 1 species
AUCGCUUCUCGGCCUUUUGGCUAAGAUCAAGUGAAGAACUCCCCUCACAUACUAAUAUCCUAGUAUAAAAGGAUAUUUGCUAUUUAUUUAUUUAUUUUUAAUUUUUUCUUAAUGUUUUUUUUUAAUUUAUUUUUGAGACAGAGCAUGAGCAGGGAAGGGGCAGAGAGAGAGGGAGACACAGAAUCGGAAGCAGGCUCCAGGCUCUGAGCCAUC